rnacentral:rRNA from 1 species
GACGUAGGAUGCAAGCGUUGUCCGGAUUUAUUGGGCGUAAAGAGUUCGUAGGUGGUUUGUUAAGUCUGAUGUUAAAGACCGAGGCCCAACCUCGGAACUGCAUUGGAUACUGGCAGACUGGAGUACAGUAGAGGCAAGCGGAAUUCCCAGUGUAGCGGUGAAAUGCGUAGAUAUUGGGAAGAACACCAGUGGCGUAAGCGGCUUGCUGGGCUGUAACUGACACUGAGGAACGAAAGCCAGGGGAGCGAAUGGG